rnacentral:rRNA from 1 species
CCCGCGGAACAUGUGGCUUAUUCGACGCAACGCGAAGAACCUUACCAAGGCUUGACAUACACCGGAAAACCCUGGAGACAGGGUCCCCCUUGUGGUCGGUGUACAGGUGGUGCAUGGCUGUCGUCAGCUCGUGUCGUGAGAUGUUGGGUUAAGUCCCGCAACGAGCGCAACCCUUGUCCUGUGUUGCCAGCAUGCCCUUCGGGGUGAUGGGGACUCACAGGAGACCGCCGGGGUCACUUCCGGAGGAAGA